rnacentral:rRNA from 1 species
CCCUUAGAUGUUCUGAACCGCACGCGUGUUACACUGAUGCAUUCAACGAGCUUUACCUUGGCCGAGAGGCCUGGGAAAUCUUUUUAGCAUGCAUCGUGAUAGGGAUUGAUUAUUGCAAUUAUUAAUCAUGAACGAGGAAUUCCUAGUAAACGCAUUUCAUCAAAAUGCAUUGAUUACGUCCCUGCCCGUUGUACACACCGCCCGUCGCACCUACCGAUUGAGUGGUCCGGUGAAGUCUCGAGAUUGUGGCAAUCUCCUUUAUUGGAGUUUGACUGCGAGAACUUGCCUAAACCUUAUCACUUAGAGGAAGGUGAAGUCGUAACA